ACUCAAAGGAAUAGACGGGGACCCGCACAAGCAGCGGAGCAUGUGGUUUAAUUCGAAGCAACGCGAAGAACCUUACCUAGACUUGACAUGUCCUGAAUUACCAGUAAUGUGGGAAGUUCCUUCGGGAACAGGAACACAGGUGGUGCAUGGUUGUCGUCAGCUCGUGUCGUGAGAUGUUGGGUUAAGUCCCGCAACGAGCGCAACCCUUAUUGUUAGUUGGUACCAUUAAGUUGACCACUCUAGCGAGACUGCCCGGGUUAACCGGGAGGAAGGUGGGGAUGACGUCAAAUCAUCAUGCCCCUUAUGUCUAGGGCUACACACGUGCUACAAUGGCAAGUACAAAGAGAAGCAAUACUGUGAAGUGGAGCAAAACUCAAAAACUUGUCUCAGUUCGGAUUGUAGGCUGAAACUCGCCUACAUGAAGCUGGAGUUGCUAGUAAUCGCGAAUCAGAAUGUCGCGGUGAAUACGUUCCCGGGUCUUGUACACACCGCCCGU
rnacentral:rRNA from 1 species